AAAAUUUGUUCUUUAAAAAUAAAACAACAUUCAAAUAGACAAACCAUUGUUCAACUUAACUUUAUUAGUCUGCUCAGGCCACCAUAACAGAAUACCAUAGACUGCAUGGCUCAAACAACAGAAAUUUAUUUCUCACAGUUCUGGAGGUGAAAAGCCUAAGUUUAAGGUGCCAGACAAUUUGGUUCUUGGCAAGGGCUGUCCUUGGGUUGCAGAUGGCUGUCUUCUCACUGUGUCUGCAUGUGGUGGAAAAAGAACUCUGGGGUCUCUUCCUCCUUUUUAUAAGGGCACCAGCCUUAUCAGAGUAGGGCCCCACAUUUAUGGCUUUGUUUAACCUUAUUACCUCCUCACAGGUCCUAUAUCCAAAUAUAGUCAUAUUGGGUGAUAGACUUCAACCUAUGAAUCUUGGGGGGACAUGUUCCAUCCGUAACAUUAACAAAGGGGAAAGGAUGUAGAAAGCACAUAUAUUCAAAAGUGGGAAAGGCACAGUGGCUCCAGAUAUGGAGGAAAUGGAAAGAAUCGUGAACCUGUGUUUUCCACAACUCUGCACUCAAGUUGAAAUCCUAGAAGACAUGGAUGAUAUUUUAGGGAAACACAUAUUUUCAAGACUGACUUUGGGAGCAUUAAAAAACCUGAAAAUAAGCAGUCCAAAUGUUUUGAAAACAGUGAACAAGUCGUGCUGGGUCAUGGGACCCUAGAUGAUAUAAUGAUCCCCUCUCGCUGGGAGCUGAGGCUCUGGCUUCUUCACUAUCAGAGGGCUGGAGAACAUGAGGAGGCAGCCUGGGACCUCAAAGCUCCAGCCCUUCUCUGAGAGGGGGAGCAGGUGAUGGCAGCCAUGCUCCUGACAGCCUGGCCCCAGGUGAGCUGUGGCUCCUUCAGCUCUUCCUCUGAACAGUUUCACAUUGAAGAAAACUGAGAAGGGAAGCUGGGCCUGAGCCAUGGAAUUGGCCCUAGGGCAGCAGGAACCUGUUGUUUCAGAAGUCGGUGACCUUCGAGGACGUGGCUGUGUACUUCACCCAGACGGAAUGGGAUGGCCUGUCCCCUGCACAGAGGGCCCUGUACAGGGAUGUGAUGCUGGAGAAUUAUGGGAAUGUGGCCUCCUUGGGAUUUUCUCUUCUCAAACCUGCUGUGAUCUCACAACUAGAGGGAGCAGGUGAGCUGGGGGGCCCAUCUCCACUGGUGGAUGGAACAGAAACAGGCCCCCAGGGCCUCUGGACUGGUGUUAUCACCCGUGCUGGAAGACCCCCAAAAGUCAUUAACUCCUUGACCCUUAUAAGAAGGACAUACAUCAUUUGUACUGUAAGGUGUGUACAAGGUGGGGUGGGGUACAGGUCCUGGCAAGAAUAGAAGCAGGAAAAUAAGCAAAAAGCAGUUUUUCAUGGAGUUCCUUCAGUUUCCCUGGCUCAUACAGAGAACAAUUAUAUUGAUGGAGAGACUACACCAAACUGGAAUAGACUUUUGGGGAUGAAUGUGAAUCAGUAGUCUUUCCAGAAAGUACUUCAGCAAUACAUAUCAAGAGCCUUUUAAAAGUUUGUCCUUGAUAGUCUGGAUAUUCCCUCCUAGAGUAUCCUAAUAAACUAAUCAGAGAUACAGACAAAGAUGUGCAUGCACAAAAGUUCAUCAUAAUUUUAUAUAAUAAAAUGUUGGAAAUAACCCAGACAUUCAGUAUAGAGAGAAUUGGUUAAUUUAAGAUACCUCUGCAGGAUGGAAUGCUAUUUAGCAAUUUUAAAAAUAUUUUUACAGAAUAAAGAUAAUGGAAAAUUGUCAUUAUUAGUGUUAAGGAAGAAAAAUAUUUUCAAUUUUGAAUAAAAACAUUUUUAGAAAAAUGAUUGGAAGGAAAAUCUUUGGGGGAGGAGAUACAUCAGAAGAUUAGAUGUAGUUGUUAGAUGGUUGUAUUUCACGUAAAUUGAAUUUUCUUUUUUGUACUUUUCUGAUAUUAGGGAUGACUACUAUUUUUAUAAUUGGGAAAAGACCAACAGUUUUGAAAAUGCUUGCUAGGGAAAUCCAGGUCACUUGGGUCUCUUGAGGGUGAUUAGAAUGAAAUACUGGGGCAGGGGCUUAUUACCUGUGGUUGAGGAGAGAUGAGAGAUGAAAAAUAGAGGCAGCAUUUUGAGAUCAGUUUUGAGAAAUUUGGGAACAAAAGAUCCUUAGCUCUAUUGGGACUGUAGGGAUUCCAAAAAGAAUGUUAGGGACAACGGCUCCUGGGUGGCUCAGUCGCCUGGCUCAGGUCAUGAUCUCGGGGUGGGGUUGAGCCCCACGUCAGGCUCC